AUUGUUUUGUAGUUCAUAAGGGUGCUGAUUGGGUGUUCACACAUGUGUAAGAUAUGCCACCCUCAAACCUUGUUAUGAUGUCGGCACACCACCUGACUGAUG